AUGAUUUUCAAGGCAUGUGGGGAAGCGCACACGCACCAGUCCGGUCCCUCACAUGAAAGACCGCCUCGGCGAACAAACAGCUGGCAGCGAUGCCAGGGCUUAUUAGCAAAGUUGUUCAUCUUGUGCGAUUCCACAAGCACGGAAUUCCACGUGGAACCCACUCUCUGGCACGGAAAUGUAAUUGAUGGGUUUUUUUAUUUUCAAAAACUGAUGUGCUUGUUCUAUUUUUUAGAAAAACAUUGGGCUUUCCCCCCUAUCACAUUUAAUAUGUUGGAAUACAGCCAGGAGCCGGCCUUGCCUCAAGGCACCAUGUGGCACUGGCUUCGGGCAGAAAAUGAUGAUGGCAUCCAUUGCAUGGCAUCUGUCCUUCUAAGACUCUUAACCCUUCCACCCUUCCUUCCUUCCUUCCUCUCCCCUUCCCUCCCUCUCUUCACUUUCUCCUUCCUUCCUUCCUUCCUUCCUUCCUUCCUUCCUUCCUUCCUUCCUUCCUUCCUUCCUUCCUUCCUUCCUUCCUUCCUUCUUUAUCUCCCUUUACUUUCCCCUUCCUUCCUUCAUCCCUCCCUCCUCCAUUUUCCCUUCUUUGCUUCCCUGUCCUUCCUUCCUUCCUUCCUUCCUUCUUUCCUUCCUUCCUUCCUUCCUUCCUCUCCCCUUCCCUCCCUCUCUUCACUUUCUUCUUCCUUCCUUCCUUCCUGCCUGCCUUAUUCCCUCCCUUUACUUUUCCUUUCCUUCCUUCUUUCCUUCCUCCUCCAUUUACCCUUCUUUCCUUCCCCUUUCUUCCUUCCUUUUCCUCCCUCUCAUCACUUUCUCCUUCCUUCCUUCCUUCCUUUCGCUCCCUUUUCCUCCCUCUCUUCACUUCUUCCUUCCUUCCUUCCUUCCUUCCUUCCUUCCUUCCUUCCUUCCUUCCUUCCUUCCUUUCGCUUCCUUUUCCUCCCUCCCUUUACUUUCCCCUUCCUUCCUCCCUUCCUCAACUUCCCCUUCCUUCCUUUGUUCCUUCGUCCCUUCCUUCCUUCUUUCCUUCUUCCCUCCCUCCUCCAACUUCCUCUUCCUUUAUUCCUUCCUUUCUUCCCUCCCUCCCUUCUCCAUUUCCCCUUCUUUCAUUCCUUCCUUCCUUCCUCCCUCUCUUCCUCCCUUCACUUUCCCUGA
rnacentral:lncRNA from 1 species